rnacentral:rRNA from 1 species
UUUCGAAUCAUUCACAAUGGGCGAAAGCCUGAUGAUGCAAUGCCGCGUGGGGGAUGACGGUCUUCGGAUUGUAAACCCCUGUCACCAAGGACUAAACGACGGUGAAGAGCCGUCCUGAAUUAACUUGGAGAGGAAGCAGUGGCUAACUCCGUGCCAGCAGCCGCGGUAAUACGGAGACUGCGAGCGUUACUCGGAUUCACUGGGCGUAAAGGGUGCGCAGGCGGCCAGGUGUGUCAGAUGUGAAAGCCUACGGCUCAACCGUGGAACUGCAUUUGAAACUACCUGGCUAGAGUAUCGGAGAGGUAAGCGGAAUUCCUAGUGUAGCGGUGAAAUGCGUAGAUAUUAGGAGGAACACCGAAGGCGAAGGCAGCUUACUGGACGAUUACUGACGCUCAGGCACGAAAGCGUGGGGAGCGAAAGGGAUUAGAUACCCCCGUAGUCC